GACCGCGUCCCAAACACGCCGCCUUUUAUUACACACGCAGUGUACUGCAGCCUUCAACGUGUAUCUGAUGUAGGCCGCCUAGAGAGGGAGGAGCGAGCGGAUUGGGACGCGGCCCUGUAACUGCGCUUUACAUAUCGGGCAAGUCAUGGAAAUGCGUUUCAAAGGGAAUGUGGGGGAAGAACUUCAGGAUUAACAACAACAAAUCUUUGCUUGUAUUUUUCUCAUUUACUGGCAGUGGAGUACAGCAGUUCAGGACAGGAAACAGGGAGAUGGUGGUACACGCUGCGGCCAAGACGAUCGUCUGUAACCUCCCACAUCUUUGUUUCCUUCACAUGUUCAUCAUGAAAUCUUCUCCGACGUCCUCUCAUACAGCAGACUGCUCUGCGACACGAGAGGCGAAGGUCCAUACGUUAAAUCAUUACUCGCCUUAUUUUGCAUGUUUAUAGUGUUCUAUAGCGUGCAUCAAAGUGAUGUCAUGACAAUCCUGGCUAAUGCUAACUCUAGUUGAACCUCUGCUUUGUGCUUAUUGGUUGGGGAAAAGGAAGGCGGGCUCAAAGACUAAAAUAAUAAUAAUAAUAAUUCACAUCUUAUUCAGCUCCACCUACUGAAGUUUUGAGAAAUCUUAUCUAAUGACCCUUUACAUACACGAACAGCCUAUAGAUGCAGUGUGCUACUGUUCUCCCAGGGCUAGAUACUUGGGAAGCUCAGCCAUGGUCCUAUAUAUAUACAGACCACAGACACACGCUCUGAGCACUCGUUUGCUGUUAGAAGAGCUAAUCUGAUAACACUGUGUGGGUUUACACAUCCAAAACAAUCUGCUAAUGGGAAGAAAAGAAUAGUGUAGUGAUUUUCACAAUUCACAUGAUCACAGAACUUCACAGAAAUGCAGAUAUAGACCGCUAUCUAAGGCAGUGGUUUUCAAAGUGGGGGCCCCCCUGGCGGCCUCAACAAUUUGGUCAGAGCCACCAAGCCCACCCCUCCCACUAGUAUGUUUUUUCUGUCUCACUCUCAGACAACCACACACACACACAAUCAAUUCCUAAUGUAAUGUAAUGUAAAGAUGUAAUUAUUAAUAAUAAAAAAAGCGGAUAUAUUCAGAAGUCUGUAUUUUUUUUAAUGUGUUUUAAAGACAUCUUGCAUCUCGGUCAAAUGAUAAUGCCAUUUCGGGGGCCUUGCCCUGGAAAAGUUUGGGAACCGCUGAUCUAAGGAACUAGUCAGCGGUGACGGUGGAGAGAUGACAAGAGGAAGAAACCUUCGAAACAAACCAGACUCUAAAGGGUAUUUCUGUGUGACACCAGAUAGUCUGAUUAUAAAUCACUGCAUGACCGGUGUAGAAGAGUAACGUGUGUGGAAAGGAUGUUCCGUAUGAACAAACUGUGUACAAGUGUCCUGGCAUGAGCACAGGACAGGCUGUACGAUUACAUUAGAAUUUGAUCAACACAUUUGUUAUAGUCACAUUCAUAUAGCGCUUUUCUACACACUCAAAGCUCUUUACAGUGUAUGGAGGGGAGAUGAGGAGAGGAGAGGAGAGUGAGAUGUAGCCAAUUUUGUACAUGUGCACAAAUACAUCUGUAUUUUAUUUAGAAUAGCUAAGAAUUGUGGUACAACUACAUUACUUUUAUUGCUUACAAAAGAAACAAACAUGAAUAACACACUUGGUUCAACCCACUGAAAUUCUUUGCUGGGUCCACAUCUGGAUCACGCUCUAACAGCUGAAGAGACUCUUCAUUUUUGGAACCGCUUAUAAAAUACAUCGGCUACAUUUACACACACACCCCAAUAUUUUCAUAUUAAUCAGAAUUUGGCAAUAUUCUAAUUAGUAUCGAGUCAAACCGAUUGCCCGAUUCAGAUAUUACUCAGACAAUAUUCCGAUUCCCCACCCUGGAGUAUGCCUGUUAAUUGGAAAUUUGUUGCAUGUAAAACGCCUUAUUCAGAAAAUCAACUGAAAGGAGAUACAUGUGCGUGCUAACCGGAGAUCGACCGUUAAGCAUUUUUCCAUAAUCUGUUAUCGUUUUUUUUUUUUUUUUUUUAAAUAUCAGCUCUCGUGGGCACUUUGAGAAUUGCACAAGACCACAAUAACCGGCAUUAAUGUCCAAAUUAGAGGUGUUCCAUAAACGCUUGAUCUGUAGUUUAAGCAGCUUGGCUCUGAGAAAUAGAGACUGUCACUUAAAUCUGUUUAUCUCAAAGCUUUUAUUAAGAACAUUUUAAGAACAGUGCACGUUAUUUAUUUAUUUAUUUUUUUUGCACUCUUUCAGACUCCUCUUUAUUGGUGUAUAAAUAAGAGUUGUUUGGUAUGCAAGGAGGAAGUGAUCUUGACAAAACCGUUUUAUUUAUAACGGUUUGUUUAGUUCUGUGGUGUUCGUGUCAAAAACAGCAGUAAAACAAUAAACGGGUCGGCGUAUUGUUUUUUUGGGCACAUAAACAUGCAAAUAUCGGUAUUGGUUUAAAAAAAAAAAAAAGAA